GGGGGCGAGCGUUAUUCGGAAUUAUUGGGCGUAAAGGGCGCGUAGGCGGCCCGGUACGUCAAAGGUGAAAUCCCUCGGCUCAACUGAGGAACUGCCUUUGAAACUGUCGGGCUUGAGGCCGGGAGGGGGUAGCGGAAUUCCCAGUGUAGCGGUGAAAUGCGUAGAUAUUGGGAGGAACACCAGUGGCGAAGGCGGCUACCUGGACCGGUUCUGACGCUGAGGCGCGAAAGCGUGGGUAGCGAACAGG
rnacentral:rRNA from 1 species